UACGGAGGUUGCGAGCGUUAUCCGGAUUUAUUGGGUUUAAAGGGUGCGUAGGCGGUUUGAUAAGUCAGUGGUGAAAGUUUGCAGCUUAACUGUAAAAUUGCCAUUGAUACUGUCAGACUUGAGUACAGAUGAGGUAGGCGGAAUGUGUGGUGUAGUGGUGAAAUGCUUAGAUAUCACACAGAACACCGAUUGCGAAGGCAGCUUACUAAACUGACACUGACGCUGAGGCACGAAAGUGUGGGGAGCAAACAGGAUUA
rnacentral:rRNA from 1 species